rnacentral:lncRNA from 1 species
AAGCAGCAUCUUUCACCACCAGGAGGGAGUCAUCGCAUCUGAGGGUUCAGGUUCUCAAUGCCAAUUUCUCAGCAGUGGUAGGUCAGGUCUUUGAAGCUCCAUCCUAAAAUUGCAGGGCUCUAAAUAACCCAGAUGAAACCUAUUGGGAUGAAUUCACAACUGUCUGCAAGAGAAAGCUCCCGCUGACGUCAAUAGGAGUUUAUCCUGAGGGCCUAAGAAUUAGAAAGAGCUGCCAGUGCCAUCCCUGUGAGCAGUGAAGCAAAGAAAAGCAAUGAGGUAAGGAAUCUUUCCACAGAUACUAUAUGAGAUGCAUUUCA